ensembl:lncRNA
GUAGCAUAUUCUUGGUUGGGAUUUUUUUUCUUUCUUUCAACACUUUGAGUAUGUUAUGCUUCUCCCUUCUGGCCUGCAAAGUUUCUGCUGAAAAAUCUGCUGAUAGUCUUCUGGAGGUUCCCUUGUACAUAACAAGUGGUUUUCUCUUGCUGUUUUUAAGAUUCUUUCCUUGUCUUUAACUUUUGACAGUUUGGUUGUACUAUGUCUUGGUGUAGAUCUCUUUGGAUUCUUCUUAUUUGAAACCUCUGGGCUUUCUGGAUAUGGAUGUUUGUUUCUUUCUCCAGGUUUUAGGGAAAUUUUCUGCCAUUAUUUUUUUGAAUAAACUUUCUGCCCCUUUCUCUCUGUUUUCUCCUUCUGAGACCCCUAUGAUGCAUAUAUUGGGCCACAGUUGUUGCUAUUCCAUAAGUCCGUUAAGCUAUCUUCCCUCUUUUUCGUUCUUUCUUGCUUUUUGCUCCUCCGAUUGGAUGAAUUCCACUGCCCUGUCUUUGAAUUCACUGAUCUUUUCUUUUACUUGAUCUAGUCUGCUGUUGAAUCCCUCUAUUGAAUUUUUCAGUUCAGUCAUUAUCGUCUGCAGCUUUGAGAUUCUUGUUUGGUACUUUAUUAUGUUUUCUAUAUCUUUGUUGAAACUCUCACUUUGUUCCCUCAUUGUUCUCUUGACAUCAGUGAGCAUCUUUAUGACAAUUAUUUUGAACACUUUAUCAGGUAAGUCACUUAUCCCCCAUUUCAUUAAGAUCUGUUUCUGAAGUUUUAUCUUGUUCUUUUGUUUGGAAAUAUUCCCUUUUUUCUUCAUUUUCCUUGACUUUCUGUUUCCAUCUUGCUCAUUUCCCAGACAUGAGGAAUGUUUUCACCAAAUUCAAGCCUGAUGGAAUAAGAUUGUAUGGUAGAAGAAGAUGACAUAGGAACGAAAAAGCAGACUAUGAAGAAGAAAGCAUUGACAUCUCACUACAGUGGUACCAAGGAAAGGCGUUCCUUUCAGUAAAUAACAGACAAGAUUCCUCUUCCAAGACUCUGAUUUGGGAGACCACAGAGAGAAAACCUGGCAGAAGUGCCUCUUGUUGCUGUCUCCUACAAAGCAACAAGUUUGAGAAGUCUAACCCUGUGUUUCUACUUGGGAGCUCAGCACUAACUCUCACAGGCCUGGAGGUAUUUGGAGAGCAAGUCUUGUAGAGAAGACCAAGAAAACAAAAGGGACAGCUCUUCAGAUCCACCUUACUGGGAAUAUCACUCAGACACAACAUUCAGAAAGUCCAGGUUUAACAAAGGUCCAGAGUCUUCUAACUCACUUCUUAUAGAAGUUAUGAACUACACAGCAGCAGCAAUGACAACAAGCACAACAAAGCAGCCUCAGUUCUCUAGUUCUGCAGCAGGAUUCAGGGACCCCCAGGGGCUUAAUAGAGAUGCAAUCUCAGAAUGGAUAAACUUACCUAAACAUUUGAAAAAAUGGAUAACCUAAAAGGAAAUUGGCUAAGAGAUGAAGUGCAACAAGGAAACCAAAAUUGAUAAAGCUGCAAGUGAAGUUCUAAUUGAGCAUAAAUGGAGUCAGGGAAGAAAUGGCCAUCUGUGGGAAUGUUGACACCAUCACUGUUUUCCAGAGACGAUAGACGUGCAUCCAGAGGAACUCAGUGAAGCCAAACUUAGCGACACAAAUGAGGAAUAUGGCGGUGAUGAAAAGGAUGAAGAUAUCCCAGAAGAAGGCACACUGGCAAAAAACCCUCACAUUAAAGAAACUCUGGGAGGAAUUGUGCUGUAUUGAAGGCACAAUGGAUAAAUAGCUGGAAACUAAUUCAGAUUUAGAAAGGAGUACAACAAUUCACGGAGGAAUAAUAAAGAGGCUCACUCCAUACCGUAUGUCAUACAGGGAGAGGAAAAGGGCGGGCACUGCUCAAACUGAGCUCGGGGGAUCCCUACAAAGAAAAAGACAUUGUACUGUUCAGCGUUUCUACUGUUUUAAACUUCAAUGUACUAAAUAAAUAUUAGUUUUACCAUUUUUAAAUUCCCCCAUAUUUUUAUAACCUACUGUAAAAG